GAGGGUAUAGCUCAGUGGUGGAGUGCAUGCUUAGCAUGCACAAGGUCCUGAGUUCAAUCCCCAGUACCUCCA
rnacentral:tRNA from 1 species